UGGGGAAUAUUGCACAAUGGGCGAAAGCCUGAUGCAGCGACGCCGCGUGAGGGAUGACGGCCUUCGGGUUGUAAACCUCUUUCAGCAGGGAAGAAGCGAAAGUGACGGUACCUGCAGAAGAAGCGCCGGCUAACUACGUGCCAGCAGCCGCGGUAAUACGUAGGGCGCAAGCGUUGUCCGGAAUUAUUGGGCGUAAAGAGCUCGUAGGCGGUUAGUCGCGUCUGCUGUGAAAACUCGAGGCUCAACCUCGGGCUUGCAGUGGGUACGGGCUGACUAGAGUGCGGUAGGGGUGACUGGAAUUCCUGGUGUAGCGGUGGAAUGCGCAGAUAUCAGGAGGAACACCGAUGGCGAAGGCAGGUCACUGGGCCGCAACUGACGCUGAGGAGCGAAAGCAUGGGGAGCGAACAGGAUUAGAUACCCUGGUAGUCCAUGCCGUAAACGUUGGCACUAGGUGUGGGUCCAUUCCACGGAUUCCGUGCCGCAGCAAA
rnacentral:rRNA from 1 species